CCUACGGGUGGCAGCAGUGGGGAAUAUUGCACAAUGGGCGAAAGCCUGAUGCAGCAACGCCGCGUGAGCGAUGAAGGCCUUCGGGUCAUAAAGCUCUGUCCUCAAGGAAGAUAAUGACGGUACUUGAGGAGGAAGCCCCGGCUAACUACGUGCCAGCAGCCGCGGUAAUACGUAGGGGGCUAGCGUUAUCCGGAAUUACUGGGCGUAAGGGGUGCGUAGGUGGUUUCUUAAGUCAGAGGUGAAAGGCUACGGCUCAACCGUAGUAAGCCUUUGAAAAUGGGGAACUUGAGUGCAGGAGAGGAGAGUGGAAUUCCUAGUGUAGCGGUGAAAUGCGUAGAUAUUAGGAGGAACACCAGUGGCGAAGGCGUCUUACUGGACCGAAACUGACGUUGAGGCUCGAAAGCGUGGGGAGCAAACAGGAUUAGAUACCCGGGUAGUC
rnacentral:rRNA from 1 species